rnacentral:sRNA from 1 species
AUAACCCUCUGCUGCAGAAUACCCUGAUGCUACAGAAGUCUCUAGAGUCUGGAAAUCUUUACCAACAAAGAAAAAUUCUGAUGUAUUCUCUUUCAGUUGAACGUCCUCAGAUGACUUUCGGCAGGCUCCAGAGAAUCUUUCUGAAG